rnacentral:rRNA from 1 species
AAUCAACGCUGGCGGCGUGCCUAACACAUGCAAGUCGAACGCGAAAGGGGCUUCGGCCCUGAGUAGAGUGGCAAACGGGUGAGUAACGCGUGGGUAACCUGCCCUUGAGUGGGGGAUAACGUUCCGAAAGGGACGCUAAUACCGCAUAACAUCCUGUCCUGGGAUGGGUGGAGAUCAAAGCUGGGGAUCGCAAGACCUGGCGCUUGAGGAGGGGCCCGCGUCCGAUUAGCUAGUUGGUAGGGUAACGGCCUACCAAGGCGACGAUCGGUAGCCGGCCUGAGAGGGCGGACGGCCACACUGGGACUGAGACACGGCCCAGACUCCUACGGGAGGCAGCAGUGGGGAAUUGUUCGCAAUGGGCGCAAGCCUGACGACGCAACGCCGCGUGGAGGAUGAAGGUCUUCGGAUUGUAAACUCCUGUUGAUCGGGAAGAAUUUCUCUGGGGCUAAUAUCCCUGGAGGGUGACGGUACCGAUUGAGGAAGCCCCGGCUAACUCUGUGCCAGCAGCCGCGGUAAUACAGAGGGGGCAAGCGUUGUUCGGAAUUACUGGGCGUAAAGGGCGCGUAGGCGGCCGACUAAGUCAGACGUGAAAUCCCACGGCUCAACCGUGGAACUGCGUCUGAUACUGGAUGGCUUGAGUUCGGGAGAGGGAAGUGGAAUUCCAGGUGUAGCGGUGAAAUGCGUAGAUAUCUGGAGGAACACCGGUGGCGAAGGCGGCUUCCUGGACCGACACUGACGCUGAGGCGCGAAAGCCAGGGGAGCAAACGGGAUUAGAUACCCCGGUAGUCCUGGCCCUAAACGAUGAAUGCUUGGUGUGGCGGGUAUCGAUCCCUGCCGUGCCGAAGCUAACGCAUUAAGCAUUCCGCCUGGGGAGUACGGUCGCAAGGCUGA